GUCGAGCGAGCUUGCCUAUUGAAAUUCUUCGGGAAUGGACAUAGAUACAAGCUAGCGCGGAUGGGGUGAGUAACGCGUGGGUAACCCUGCCCUUAAGUCUGGGAUACCAUUUGGAAACAGAUGCUAAUACCGGAUAAAAAGCUACUUUCGCAUGAAAGAAGUUUAAAAAAGGCGGCGUAAGCUGUCGCUAAAGGAUGGACCUGCGAUGCAUUAGCUAGUUGGUAAGGUAACGGCUUACCAAGGCGAUGAUGCAUAGCCGAGUUGAGAGACUGAUCGGCCACAUUGGGACUGAGACACGGCCCAAACUCCUACGGGAGGCAGCAGUAGGGAAUUUUCCACAAUGGACGCAAGUCUGAUGGAGCAACGCCGCGUGAGUGAAGAAGGUUUUCGGAUCGUAAAGCUCUGUUGUUGGUGAAGAAGGAUAGAGGUAGUAACUGGCCUUUAUUUGACGGUAAUCAACCAGAAAGUCACGGCUAACUACGUGCCAGCAGCCGCGGUAAAU
rnacentral:rRNA from 1 species